rnacentral:lncRNA from 1 species
AUAUAUAUAUAUAUAUAUAUAUAUAUAUAUAUAUAUUUAAUUUUUUUUCUUUUUUUUAAAAAAAAAUGUUCUUUAUUUUUUGAGACAGGGUCUAGCUCUGUUGCCCAGGCUGGAGUGCAGUGGUGCUAUCUCAGCUCACUGCAACCUCUACCUCCUGGGCUCAAGCCAUCCUCCCACCUCAAUCUUCUGAGUAGCUGGGACUACAGCU